UAGGGAAUCUUCCACAAUGGGCGCAAGCCAGAUGGAGCAACACCGCGUGAGUGAAGAAAGGUUUCGGCUCGUAAAGCUCUGUUGUUGGAGAAGAACGUGCGUGAGAGUAACUGUUCACGCAGUGACGGUAUCCAACCAGAAAGUCACGGCUAACUACGUGCCAGCAGCCGCGGUAAUACGUAGGUGGCAAGCGUUAUCCGGAUUUAUUGGGCGUAAAGCGAGCGCAGGCGGUUGCUUAGGUCUGAUGUGAAAGCCUUCGGCUUAACCGAAGAAGUGCAUCGGAAACCGGGCGACUUGAGUGCAGAAGAGGACAGUGGAACUCCAUGUGUAGCGGUGGAAUGCGUAGAUAUAUGGAAGAACACCAGUGGCGAAGGCGGCUGUCUGGUCUGCAACUGACGCUGAGGCUCGAAAGCAUGGGUAGCGAACAGGAUUAGAUACCCUGGUAGUCCAUGCCGUAAACGAUGAGUGCUAGGUGUUGGAGGGUUUCCGCCCUUCAGUGCCGGAGCUAACGCAUUAAGCACUCCGCCUGGGGAGUACGACCGCAAGGUUG
rnacentral:rRNA from 1 species